rnacentral:piRNA from 1 species
UUCAACAGAUACUGUUAUGAAAUACCUAGAA